rnacentral:rRNA from 1 species
AUACGUAGGUGGCAAGCGUUGUCCGGAAUUACUGGGUGUAAAGGGAGCGUAGGCGGGGACGCAAGUCAAGUGUUAAAUCUACCGGCUCAACUGGUAGCUGCGCUUGAAACUGCGACUCUUGAGUGAAGUAGAGGCAGGCGGAAUUCCUAGUGUAGCGGUGAAAUGCGUAGAUAUUAGGAGGAACACCAGUGGCGAAGGCGGCCUGCUGGGCUUUUACUGACGCUGAUGCUCGAAAGCGUGGGGAGC